UCUUCCGCCCUCCCUGCAAUUGAUUUUUUCUCCUGUACUGACACCCAAUUCUGGGGGAGUUAGCCCGUAGCUUUAUCCCUGGGGAAUUAUUACCCCCACCGUAAUAAUGCUUCCUCCCAGUACUCUGUUUCUUCGUGGAUUGACCUUUGGUUAAAAUUGGAGGGAGAUGAAGGGCGGGCAAAUGAUCGAACACCUGGAGUGCUUGUUUUUUGGUAGGCAGAGAAUGUUUAUCGACGUCGAUGAUAAUGUCGCUACUAGCACUAGAGGAAUCAACCAACUCCAGAGGGCAGCCGCAUGAGUUGCUGGACCAGGACACCUUCUU
rnacentral:lncRNA from 1 species